UACGAAGGGGGUUAGCGUUGUUCGGAAUUACUGGGCGUAAAGGGCGCGUAGGCGGGUGCUCAAGUCCGUGGUGAAAUCCUCCGGCUCAACCGGAGAACUGCCUCGGAUACUGGGCGUCUCGAGUGUGGUAGGGGUAUGCGGAACUAUCGGUGGAGCGGUGAAAUGCGUUGAUAUCGAUAGGAACUCCGGUGGCGAAGGCGGCAUACUGGACCACCACUGACGCUGAUGCGCGAAAGCCAGGGGAGCAAACGGG
rnacentral:rRNA from 1 species